UAGUAAAUUGAUUUUCAAUAAAAACUCAAAUUCAUAAUCAUGCCUCCACACCAGAUUUUUAUUAUGCCAGAAAUUUGAUUUGUAUCAUAAGGAGUUUCCUAUUGUUGGCAGUAUAUUACCAUGGCAACACAUCCUGUGCAGUGAGGUAAUGUGUGUCCCUCUGGUGAGGGUGCAGCAGACCAGUGUCAGUCACAUUAACCCCUGGUUAAACACACGUUAGACCGUUUUGACGCAAACACCCAGCAGUGCAGUGCGUGCAGGUCAAACAAAAUGGCUUUGACAGCAGUCCAUGGAUUUCACUAGAGAACAAUGAAAAAGAGGAUAGACUAAAACAAAGGAAUUAGUAUGAUUCAUCAACUGUUACUAACUUUAGGUCCAUUAAGCCACACCUCCAUCCAGGACUGAUUGACAGCUGACAUUCUGUCUGUGGAUAAAAGCUGUGCAAAUAAAAGAUUAUGCUUCAUUUACCACCAGUACCACUCUGGAGACUCUAUUACAGAAGCUCUUCAGCCAGAGGAAUACCAUUCAGUGAAUUUAAAUCCCAUUUCACUUUCUUCAGCAUGAGGCACAUUAGACUACAUUAUACCGGCGCUGCAUUCUUCUUACUGCUGUUCUCUGCAACAGGUGCUGAGCCCUACAGUCUUUUAAAAGUCCUCGAGGGCCUCCAGGCAGAGCCACAGAACUACCCUUCACCCCUGUACUCGUUCUCCCUCUGCAUGGAGAUCAACAACCGUGUCUUCAGCGACGCUCUCCUCAACUCAAGCUCACAGCAGUACAAGCGCAUGUAUGCAGAGGUUGCUGGAGCUCUGGACAUCGCCUUUAACUGCUCUGACUGUGACACAAGAGAAACCUACAGAGGAGUGACGAACAUACAGUUCAGUAACGGGUCUGUGAUCGCAAAUUGUACCAUCCAGUUCCAGACCAUUUUUAUCAACCAUGUUGUGAUCAAACAUUUGUUCUUGAGGGCUGUAGAUAACACUCAGCUGAAUGGUCUUGAAGUCAACAGAAAGUACACUGAUGAAAUAGUCACACCUAUCUGGCUUUUUCCAAAAUCCUCAACUCCGAUGGCAGAAACUAGUGUUCAGGGGCUUCCUGGGUGGGCCAUUGCAUUGUUAGUGCUGGCAUGCAUCAUCAUCCUGCUUCUCUUCAUCAUCUUACUACUGAUAUGCUUUUGGUGCUGUAGGAGAAAAGAAAAAAAGGAAGAAACACAAACAGUAACACCGUAUGAGAGAACGUCUUUCAAAGAGCAUCUUGCCAAUCCCACAUAUAUGUCACACGCACCUGAGAAGAGCCCCAACUACCGGAGCUUGGGAGAACCGGAAGCACAACAUGGCAACCUAUCAGGGAUCUACAUGAAUCCUCAGAGAUGAAAACCACAACACCACUCACUAUAAGAGAGAGGCAUGGAGUAACUGAUGCCAUGAAGAGUCAGGAUGGUUUCUCUCACAGAAGAUGCUGGUUUCUUCAGCAAGUUUCUAAAAAUGUGGACUUGUCAUCAUUACCAUGUGUAAUAUAAGUAUUAUACUCAACUGAAUAGAAAACUAUUUAUUUCUGUACUAUUUAUGAAGCACAGAUAUGGGGAUUUGGGUCUGUGAACUUUUGCAUCUCUUACUCUGUUCAGUGGAACACCAUAAGGCUGGGGCUAGUUUUCACACUUAAUACUCCACUAAAUAUUUACCAGGUUAGGUUUAUUCUCUGAACAUUUGCACUGCUUCAACAAACUUAAAGUGUGCAUGAUAAUAGGUGGUGUGUUUGUGAAAUUUAAACAGUAAAGCACAUUUAAACAAGAUCAUUUCUAAAACAGUGACAAAAGUUAAACAAUCAAUACAUAUUAAAUAUGAAAACAAUGUUUUGGCCAAAAGGGAUUGCAAUUCAUAAAUUGUACCAACUAAAUUACAUGUCAAUGCUUCCCUAUGUGACAUCUUGCCCCCGUGUCUUUUACAGUAUAUCUUAGGCUACAGAAGGAGAGUAGAUCUCUUAAAUUUAAAGAUUUUAUGUUUGAUACUAUAUGUGGGGGUUUGGUAUCUCCAGAUUACAAGUUUAUCGAUUCAUAAAUGUCUUUUCAUUUGACAUCAUUCAUUCAGGUUAUUUGUAUGGUCAUAUACACUUAUUUUACACUUUCUGUGGGAAGAACUGUUGUAUUCAAUGCACAACACUUCAACAAAGCAAUAUAUUAUCAAUUACAUUAUAAAUAAAUAAAGUUCAUACAGUACA
ensembl:lncRNA